rnacentral:lncRNA from 1 species
AUCAGCACUAUAAAUACGCGGCUUCGUAAUUGAAAAUUUUGCUUUUAGGGUUUAGAUGUGCUACAAGGCAUACCGCAAAAGCCAUUUCAUUUUCACCAUGCGGGUACUUUUUGUUAUCUGCAGCCUGUACUUGAUAGGUGCUGUGGUCAGUAAAACACCUACUCGUGAAUCUCCUGCCAGAUCGUCCUCAAGAUCUCCUUCAAGGCCCGACUCAAAAUCUGCAAAACGCUCUAUUUCUUCAAAAAGCAGUCGCUUCUUGUCAGUGAUGUCGGGUGGAAUAAAAUCUCUCUCAAAAAGUAAUAGAUGGCUCAGCUUUGGUUCGUUCAAGGAAGAUCCUUCGAAAGCAGUUCGAAAAGCACUAAGAGGUGAUCAUUUGGAUAGAAGUCCAAGUGAUAUGAGUUUUUCCUCAGAUAUCGCCCAGGAUACUCCCACCAGCCCUGAAUCACAGCGUCAGGUAUUCCGCACCGCCUACUCUGAAUUUACCAAAGAGUGCAACGAGAAAUGCUCAUUAGCAUGGGGUUACCAUUAUGAAUCCGACGAUAAAGUAUGCACAGAUCUAGUGUUUGCGAAAGGGAAAGUAACUCCCAUCACGAAAGGAACAACAAUCAAAACAUCCAUGGUUAGGAGUCUCACCGGUUUUGUCCAAGCUGCUGGAGAGGUGAUGCAUUUAAAGAAACCUGGGUAUACGUGUUUCUGCAUGACAACGAAGGCAUUCCAUUCCGUCCUUCAAACCAAGUUAAACACUUUGCCUGACGAUUUUGAAAAAAUGAGGAAAGACCUGAAAAAGGAUCCUGAUGGGGCGAGCAAAAUCCUGAACCAGAUAUACCCUGAAGGUAAGAAAGGAACAAAUUUCCAACACGUUGAUCAUGAAACUCUGGUCAACGUAAUCGUAGAGGAGAUGACAGCUCAUAUUCAGGAUUCUGACUUCGAAAACUCGGACUUCGACAAGCGUGUCGCUAAUUUGGGCUGGUGUGAUGCGGACAUCGAACCUGGCUCAAAGCGCCCUUCUCAAAGAACUCCACCUGCUUCCCCGACCCGCCGUGCAUAAAAGUUCCUCCACCGAUGAUUUUCAGUGGAAAAUUCAAGGAGAGUUAACUAUAUUUAAAAUUCUUAUUAAUAUAUAUAUUAUAAGAAAACGAAAUGAAAUAAUUUGAGCAUUAAAUAUCACAGUACCCCAUGCAAAGUAGAAAUCUACCACACUCACCCUUUCAAAAAGUAAAAUCGAGUUACAGUAAAAGCUCGCUAAGUCGAACUACGGUUAAGACGAAAUACCGAUUAAGUCGAAGUUUUUUCGGUCCCUAGAAACGUCUAUAAGUUUGGUGGAGUAUCGGUUAAGACGAAUUGUCGCUUAAGUCGAAUUUUUCGUCUGUCCCUACACAAUUCGACUUGGCGAGCUUUCACUGUAUUAGGAUUUCAUAUAGUACAAACACACGGAAACCAGAAUGUUCCUUACCAUAUUUCAUUUUGACUGAUUUUUCUCGUGUUUGAAAGUGUAUUACACGAAGCUAAAACUGUUACACCUUGAAACUUACUGAAUAUCACAGAGACACUCACAAAAUUUAACGUUAGAAUGUUGCUUUCUUCUAUGUUAAUAACCGUAAUUAGUAGAGGAGAUUCGACAACGACUGAUGCAGUUAUGAUGAUUCGUUAUUAUUUGUUGGCUUUUACUGCUCUAAACGAUUUGACUUAUCUAUUUUGAGCAUAUAUACGUCCAAUCAUCCCUAAUGUUCGAGAGUUACUCUCCAAUAACGACUCCACACGCGAAUUGCUGAAAACAUCGGUAGCCAUCCAGCAUCGCCUCUCAGAAAUGGCGUUCCAUUUCGAUUAAUUCUCACCAAUAACAGAAAUAAAAAAAAAAUAUUCUACGUGUUAAACAUUACCUAUUGAUAAUCCAGAGUAAAAAUAUACCUUACGCGAUUUCGUUCUGGUAAAAGAUCGAGUUAUGGUCCACUAAAUAAUGGCAUGUUCCUAACAAAACCAUUUACUUAGCGGUUUUUCUCUCUUUUAUAUGUGAUGACGACGUCUCCGCAAUAGCACAUAUCCACCUAGAAUUAUCCCUCCAGAAAGUUAAGUUCUCUUAGAGAUGGGUUUAAAAAAUAAGUAUUUAAGUCCUUAGAGUUUUACUAACUUUUCUAGAAUGGUCUAAUCCACAGUUUUCAUUUUUCUAUUGUAAAUAAAUUGAUUCUGCAUUCGUUUACAACUUGUUUACAUUAUUUUCUUUCUGCUUUCGUAG